GUGAAGUGCAGAGUACACAAAGGAAAGGUCACUGCCCUCAAAGGUCUCCCAAUCAAAUGGGAACGCAAAUGCAAAAUGCCAUUCAGCAUAAUCAAUACCAUAAUGAGAUUCUGGCCAGGAAGGUCAGGGACACGAGGAAAGGCUCUGCAGUGCUACCUGGGGCAGGUGGGUCAGGGAUGACCUGGUCGAAGAGAUUACACUUGAACUGAGUCUCAAAGGAUCAGCAGGAAUUCGCCAAGUGAACCAAGGGAGAAAGGGCAGAGAAAAAGGAGACACCCAGCACAGAGGCGUGAAGUAGCCUGGCAGGCUGGGGAGCUGCUAGUGUUUUAUAUGAUUAGAGCAAGGUGGAGGUGCAGACAGGGCUGGGGAGAACUGUGGAACCCACUUCGCAAGGCCUUGGGUGCCUGUACUGGGAGUGGACACGGCAGUGUUGGUCAAAAUGGGGUCUUACAUCAGAAUCUCCUGGGAGGUUCAUGAAAAUGCAGUUUCUUAAGCCUUAUCUUAUGUCCAUAUGGGCAGACUGCUCAGCAUAACUCUCUUUUCUUCCUGAGCUUGACUACAUUUCCCAGCGUCCUUUGGAGUGAGACUACAUCUCCCAGCAUCCUGGCAGUUAGACAAUUUUCUAGUCUCCUUUGCAGGGAUCUUGGAAGCCCCAUGUUGAAGGUGGCAGAGCAACAAAAAUUGAGGAAACCCUGAAUCCCUGAAUUACUAUUUGGAGAUGACCACCCACUAAUUCGGAACACUCAUUAUUGGGCUUUAGGAGAAUGAGAAGUUCUAUCAUGUUUGAGACUCCGUACAUCUUUGGAUUUGUUUUAACAGCUAGUUUUACCCUGGCUAACAUGGCAAUUGACAGCCUCUGAGAGGAGAUUUGGAGAAUCUGCUUUUUUAACAAGUACUCCAGGGGAGUUUGAGAAUCACUGCUGAAAGCCAAGGGGAGCCAGCCACCCAAGGAUUUAACGCUGACCAAGGAACACCACGCUAUUUGCAUUUUAGAAUGACAGCAAGGGAGCAGAACUCUGCCCCCUUCUUGUCUGCCAAGGAGAACAAUCUACUGACUCAAAAGAAAAAGAAAACUUUGGUAAGAGAAAAUUGAAGCUCUAGAUGAGUGAAAAGAUUCUAACAGCACCAAGCUGCCGUAAAUGAGCUCAAGUCUCCUGGCCAGGACAAAUUACACUCCAGGGAGUAGAGAGAACUCGCCUCUGAAGCUGUAAAGCCUCUGCUGAUAAUCUUUACAGAACAUGGAGACUGUGAAAGAAAUUGGAACGCUAGAAAUGGCAAAAUAUAGCUCUGAUUAGUAAAGAGGGGGAAAGCUUCUGCAAACUACAAAAGUGGGGCUAUCCUAUCCAUCCUCAUUAAAUUCCCUGAUCAGACUACUUAAGGCUGAGCUGUGAGUACGUGAAAAAUGGAGCAGAAUCCUCUAGAAGCCUGUGUGGGUUCUUUAAGAGCAAGCCACGACAAGGCAUUGGACCAGGAAGGAGAGAAAUGGGGCCUUUUCUGGCCAGGUGCUCUCACUGACUCCGGGUACAAGGAAGAAUACAAUAUGAUUCCUGUCCUCAAGUCCACAUGCCUGUGGAUACUAACCUUUACACAGACAACAUAAGAACUGAACAGGGUGGUAUUUAAUUAAGAUAAAAGAAGUAGCAAGAGUAACAAGUAAUAAGUGAGAAUAAGUAUUAAACUAUGUACUGACUUUGGGAGUACCCAGGCUCCAUUUUUAUGCCAAAUCUCUGGUGUUAAGGCAUAAAAGAUACUGUGUUUAGAACAUGUCCUGAAAGGGAACAUGUUCUAAAAAAAACACAAAACAGCAGAAAGGAUAACGUUCUGCUGCUGACUUGUGUUCAUUGUUCAACUUGUGGGCCACUAGGACUCUUGAAUCUUCUUUCUCCAUAUUUGCAUCUAAUUAGCAUUUGUGUAGUUGCUAUCUUUCCCUGAAAUGUUUCUUUCUCAACACUCAGUAUUGCCGUAACAAGAUGGGGAAACAGAGGAAAUAAUUUUUUUAAAUGUUCAAUUGAUUUCCUUUUUUAAAAAGACACCUUUAUUGAAUUAUUACAUAUCAUAAAAUUCAUCUGUUUUAUGUGUGCAACUCGAUGAAUUUUAGUAAAUUUACAGAGGUGUGCAGCCAUCACAACCAGCUUUAAAACAUUUCCAUUACCAGACAGAAUAAUUUAAGGGCACAAUCCAAUGAAUGUGGGCAUAUUUAACCUACUUGAGCAUGCAUUUCUGAAACUGUUGUACUUAAGAAAAUCUGUCAGCAAAUUUUGAGUUGCUUCAUGAUAUACUUUUGCAAGACAAAGCAAAAUGUGCAGAAGGAAGGAUCUGUGUGCCUGAAAUCCUAAGAAACCAUUAUCUAUUUUGCAGAUCACUUUAUUAAUAAACAGAUUAUUACAAAAGUAAUUAUCUUAGAGAUGACAAUGCCAUUAGCUAACCCAUGUUGUUGUCUAUUGGGACAUAUAAAAAGUCUUUUUAAUUUGCUCUUCAAAAAAUCACUUACACCCACAACACUACUUCAGUCAACAAAGUAAAUCUAGGUAUGGGAAAACCAUGGCAAAAACUUUUUGCCAUGCUUUACCUUUUUGUCUUUAAAAUUUAAUGUAUUCAUUUUCGUUCGGAUUCUCUUUUCUCUCUUGAUUCACUGGAGGAAGGAUUUCUCUGGUGAAAAGUACCCCAAUCUGAUGCCUUUGCAAAAGCAGUCACCCCUCUGGCAUGAAAGGCACCAUUCAAUCAUCCAAACUCUUAGAGGUGAAGGGUACACUGAAUAAUGAGUGCUAAGAUGGUGUCUAUUGUAUUAUAAAUACCCAUUUUAGAAAACCCAAUAGUCAGAAAGUU
rnacentral:lncRNA from 1 species